UACGUAGGGGGCAAGCGUUGUCCGGAAUUAUUGGGCGUAAAGAGCGUGUAGGCGGCCAGAUAAGUCCGCUGUGAAAUCUCGAGGCUCAACUUCGAGCUGUCGGUGGAAACUAUCUGGCUAGAGUCCGGAAGAGGAGAAUGGAAUUCCUGGUGUAGCGGUGAAAUGCGCAGAUAUCAGGAAGAACACCCGGUGGCGAAGGCGGUUCUCUGGGACGGUACUGACGCUGGAGACGCGAAAGCCGUGGGAGCGAACAGG
rnacentral:rRNA from 1 species